GGAGGAGCCCAGCUGACAUACAAAGACAAGUCUCUGUGUUUAGGGAAGCUUGGGGUUCUGCUCCUUCUACUGCAAGAGAGCCUGACCUCAAUUAAUGUGACCUUUGAAGCAUGGCCUGAAUGACUCAGUGGCCAGCAAGUCAACCUACAGUGAAAGGUUGCUGCCAUUGCCAUUACUGCCGAAUAGAUUGAAGCUGAAGCAAAUGGUUUCAGGAUAUGUGCUUUGUAGAAAUAUCUUGAUGAUG